rnacentral:lncRNA from 1 species
GUAACAAAAAGAAAGUCAUCAGAAAAAUGGUUAAAAAAUUGAUAAUUUAUAUAAUAAAAUAUUAUGUAAUGAGUAAUUAAUAAAUGCAAAAAAAGAAGGACGAAAAUGGUUCAUUUGCCUCAUAUUUUCCCUUCAAUCAGGAAAGCGUUUUCAUUCCUUUCUUUCUUUAUGUUUCCCCAAACGUAGAAAAUGAACAACUUUCUAAUACUUAUUUUUUGGAAAACAAACAAGACUUUAUAGUAGGACAUGUCAAGAUGAAAAAUUUAGACAUCUAACUUAAAAUCAAUUGAUAGUAACUCGCUAAUAAAAAGUUACAUUUUUCUAAUUUAAAACAACAUUCCACAUUCUCACGUUACCCUUUAUUUAUGACAUUUCACUUUAUGUCACACGGGCGAGAAACUAAAUCCUCUUUUCAACAAAACCUAAAUUAUUUGAGCUUGGAGUGUAAUGCUCCUUUUUAGAUUCUUGUGGAAGAAUCGAUCAUCCUUAACAAAACUUUUGGAUAUCAUGAUGAUGAGCCUUGAGCAAGAAUUCAUCAUAUGAAGGCAACAAUUGCAAGCCCACAAUUAGCGCGUGAUGAGGACAUUGUUUGAAGCUCUCUACCAGAACACACACAUUGUGGUUAGGGAAUUGGGUGUACGGAGGAGGAGGAGGAGCUUUCAAGGGAGGCAAAUAUGCAGGUGGUAACGUGUCAAAGUCGUUAGAAACUACUUGCAAUUAUGGCUUUUUCCGAUGAUGGGGUCAUGGGGUUUUGGUAACAAACUGUGAGAACGUGUCCCCCUGAGUUUAGUGCCUUCUGGUGUAUGGCAGGGGCACCAAUGUAUAUGUUGGAAUGGAAAGGAGACUAUGCAGGAUUCAUGCCAAGAAAGAAUGGAAAUUGAGUCCUUCAGUUACCAAUACAACUAAUCCUAUUUCUUGUGAUUGGUUUUGUAAGCUUUAUUUCUUUGAUUUUCUUUUGCUUUGUUAAACAAUGAUUGAAUUUUGAUGAUUUAGAGAUAUAGUUUAUGAGAUAUAUGAAUAUAACCACUUAGAUUAAUAUUUAUUGAUACAUGUUUUUGUUGUAAAGUAAAGAAAAGAAGAAGAGAAGACAUAGAGAGAAUAGUUGGGAGGAGGCAUAAGUCUAUUCAUUCAUUCUCAUUAGCCUCUUUAUAUAUAUGUAAGGUUUACAUCAGAGUACAUAAUUAAUGAGUAAUUACGUAGACAUCCACAUAGAUUAUAAUAUUUAUAACACUCCCCCUUGGAUGUCCACCAAUGAAUGAUGAAAUUAGACGCGCAUAAUGUUGUCUCGUUAAAAACCUUGCCAGGUAAGAAAAACCCAGUAGGAGAAAAAUAACUCUGGUCGAAGGAGAAAAAGAGUACAACGCGCAUAUGUCUUAGGUAGCAUACUUCUGGAUACUCCCCCUGAACGUUGCAAGCUUCAUGCGCCGUAAAUAACGGUUUGAUUUGUCCGUCACUAAAGUGAGACCAUGCGUGCUUUGCAUAUUUGUCCGUCACUAGAGCUAGACAAUUAUAAAUAGGUCUUACCUCAUUAAGUCGUAUGACCUAAUUCAUACACUAAGUAAUAGCUAAUCAACAUAAGCUAAUUGACAUUAAAGCAUUGAAACAUCAUCAUGGCGUAUCCAGCCAUACACAUCAAUAUCUUUCUGUAUGAUACGUCUCAUAUAAACUCUACAAGAGCUCUGAGUAAUUCAUAACUUCCCAAGAGUUAGAAUAUGUAGCAACAUAAUGAUCAUAAUUCGAAUUCGAUUGUGUAGUCUGAUCAUAGUACUUAUUGAGGCAAUUUCGAUCACGUUAGCUAUAACAGAAUGAGUAUAUAUGAGUUAUUUUAGACUAUUUGAUUUCAUGAAUUAGCUUCAGGCUCUCUCAAGUAUUCAUGGAUCGAAUUACAUUAGAAUCAUUCAUGUACUUGAAUCCUUUGAGGAUUUGACCAGUGAUACGCUGGUAAUGACACUUCACUUCUGGGAAUUUGGUUUAUCAAUGUGUCUUUAAAGGCCCUCGUAAUAUACGAUGACAACAUGACAUGCCAUAAGUCUCUCAUCUAUGUAACAGUUACAUGUAACACUGUACUUAUAGCAAAAUAUCAUUCGUAUAAG